rnacentral:tRNA from 1 species
UAGCCUAGCGAUUAAGGCUAUGGAUCGCUAAUCCGGAGACGGCGGGUUCGAUUCCCGU